UAUGGAGGGUGCAAGCGUUAUCCGGAUUCACUGGGUUUAAAGGGUGCGUAGGCGGGUAAGUAAGUCCGUGGUGAAAUCUCUGAGCUUAACUCAGAAACUGCCGUGGAUACUAUUUGCCUUGAAUAUUGUGGAGGUGAGCGGAAUAUGUCAUGUAGCGGUGAAAUGCUUAGAUAUGACAUAGAACACCAAUUGCGAAGGCAGCUCACUACACAAUCAUUGACGCUGAGGCACGAAAGCGUGGGGAUCAAACAGG
rnacentral:rRNA from 1 species